GGGGGUGUGGGUAGGUAGCGUGAGAUGGGAAUCAAAAAAUGGGGCCAAGCCUAUUAUUCAGUAAGUAGAUGAAACAACACAAUUUAGCUUCUUCUUUUUCUUCCUGGUCUUCUGCGAAAACGGGCCGAGCUCGUUGUACCGCCUGAACUUCGGAAGCAUCAUUGGCAUGCGGUUGACGUUUCUAAAUGGCGAAGUGGGUCGCUGGUUUUCCUUACGGUGCGACCGGCAUGCGUGAACCCGUCAAUCGGCUGUUGCCAAAUCAGGCACUACUCCUCGACAAAUGUAGCGGCACCAGGAACUUCUGGACCCACUGCCAAAAAUGGAAAAACCAAAAAAACAGCCACUCUUCUCCCUGAAACGAUCAUGAAUAUCCUGAGAGGCGUCCACAAUUGCCAUGGGAGCGGUUAAAUUUGUCUCCAGUAUUCGCGACUGGUGUUCGCGACAUGGCGCGAUCGGUAGAACUCCUGGAUUCACCUCAUCCCGUGCCUCCGUAUUGUUGGGGGGCCGUUC
rnacentral:lncRNA from 1 species